rnacentral:lncRNA from 1 species
GUUCAUAAGUUUUAAAUGCUUCUCCAAGAUGCUGAAGCAGCAUGUUUGUUAGCUUUUAAAAUAUUUAAAAUAUGAACAGAUUAGGAUUUUAGAGGAAGUAUUUCUAAUGAACUGAGUUUUUACAUUUGCAAUUGAAGGUUGAAUGUUUGAUUUGUUCUGUGCUUGUUUUUUUGUUUUGUUUUUUUAUAGCUUUUCAAAAAUUCUUAAUUUUCUCAACAGCUGGUAAAACACCGAGAAACAAAAUAUGUUAUAUAUGCUGUAGAGACAGAUGUACUCUUAGAAUGCAAUGAUGGUUCAUGCAAUUAAAAUGACUUACAGUUCACCAA